rnacentral:rRNA from 1 species
GACGAACGCUGGCGGCGUGCCUAAUACAUGCAAGUUGAGCGCUGAAGGUUGGUACUUGUGCCAACUGGAUGAGCAGCGAACGGGUGAGUAACGCGUGGGGAAUCUGCCUUUUAGCGGGGGACAACAUUUGGAAACGAAUGCUAAUACCACAUAAAACCUUUACACACAGGGUUUUAGUUUGAAAGAUCCAAUUGCGUCACUCAAAGAUGAUCCCGCGUUGUAUUAGCUGGUUGGUGAGGUAAAGGCUCAGCAAGGCGAGGAUACAUAGCCGAACUGAGUGGGUGAUAGGCCACAUUGGGAGUGGGACGAGGCCCAAACGCCUGAGGGAGGGAGCAGUAGGGAAUCUUCGGCAAUGGACGAAAGUCUGACCCAGCAACGGCGAGUGAGAGAAGAAGGUUUUCGGAUCGGAAAGAUCGGUUGGUAGAGAAGAACGGUGGUGGGAGUGGAAAGCGCAUCAAGUGACGGUAACGACUCAGAAAGGGACGGCUAACUACGUG